UCUCCAGAUCUUAAGAUCAACUAAUUUGGGAACUUUACUUACAUCUGCAAAUUCUCUUCACGGAAUUACCUAAGUUGUUUGAUAAAAUAACUGGGCAAAGGUGUGUGUACAUUGUGAGGACGGUGGGGCUGAGAAUCUUCAGGGGUCAUUUUAGAAGUCUGCCUCAUCUUCAAAACUCAGCUCAAGGGUGACUGUCUUUCUUGAGGCCUCUAGGCAGAGCUACGUCCACCCCUGUACCCCAUAGCAUCCAAUACACACCGUUUUACUGGUUCAUUCCCCCCAGCUGGACUGAGCUGAGAUUCUGGAGGUCAGAAACCAAGCUUUGGUCAUCUUGGUGUGCCCAGCUCCUGGAACAUUGCCCGACUCUAUUUGCUGCCUGAGAGCUCAGGAUGCGCUCGAGCAAGCUCUCCAGAUGAGAAGCGCAUUUGCAUUAGAGCUGCAUGCAUCUCAGGUACAGGGAUGUUGACAGGGGACAGCAAGUGCUUCCGGGAGGUCACAGGAAACGUCAUCAGCACCCAGGGCUCCAAAGCCUUCUAGCAGAGAACCAAGGGCAGGCAAGCACGCCUUCUGAAAAGCCCAGUGAAACCAGCGUCGCCGUGACGGUGAGGCGGAUGGGCCACUAGGUGUCACUCAAGAUUCAAUAAAGAAACGCGAGUGCUUGGAAAGCUGUUUCCGCCCUUCUGGGGAAGACAGCCGAUUAGACGGUCCCCACCCAUUGUUUUCUGGUCCAUGUUCCAAACCGUCUGCGGCUCUUCACUACCCUCCGCGGACAAGUCUGGGUCUAAAAUAGGGCCACAGAAUCCAAAGCUGGGGACCACCCGACCGUCUAAUUCAGCCUCCAGGUUUUGUGGACCAGCAAUCAGAGCCGGGGACUUGCGCAGGGCGGGUAACAGACACCCGCUUAUCUACAGCCCGCAGUGGGGUCUGUGCGCCCCUCCCUACCCUCGAGCAGCUGCGAGGAGGCGCGGAGUCUUGUGCUAUCGCCAGGCUGGAGUGCAGUGGUGAGAUCCCGGCUCACUGCAACUUCUGUUUUCGGGUUUCAAGCAAUUCUCCUGCCUCAGCCUCCCGAGUAGCUGGGACAACAGGCACGCACCACCACGCCUAGCUAAUGUUUUGUACUUUUAGUAGAGACGGGGUUUCACCACAUUGGCCAGGAUGGUCUCGAUCUCUUGACUUUGUGAUCUGCCCUCCUCAGCCUCCCAAAGUGCUGGGAUUACAGGCAUGAGCCACCAUGCCCGGCCAGGAGAUUAAUAUUUGAGUCAGUGGGCUGGGAAAGGAAGACCCAUCCUCCACGUGGGUGUGUACCAUCCAAUCACCUGCAAGCAUGGCCUGAACAAAGUAGACAGAAGAAGGUGGGAUAAGCUGGUUUGCUGGGUCUUCUGGCUUUCAUCGUUCUCCAGUGCUGAAUGCUUCCUGCCCUUAGACAUCAGACUCCAGGUACCUCAGUGUUUGGACUCUUGGAUGUACGCCAAUGGUUUGCUGGGAUUCUUGGGCCUGAGCCACAGACCGAAGGCUGCACUGUCAGCUUCCCUGCCUUUGAGGCUUUGGGACUUAGACUGACCCACUACUGGCUUCUUUCUUCUCUCGCUUGUAAAAUGGCCUUUUGUGGGACUUUGCUUUGUGAUCAUGUGAGCCAAUUCUCCCUAAUACACUCCCUUUCAUAUGUACAUAUAUCCUAUUAGUUGUGUCCCUCUGGAGACCCCUGACUAAUACAGUGGGUGUACAAGCAUUUGUCACCUAUGUGAUUAUGAAAGUGAAAUUCAUUCAUUCCAAAAAUAUUUAUGAGCAUAUGAUGUGUCAGGCACUGGGAACAGAAAUGAGUGAAGCACGACCUCUCACACUCCAAAAGCAAGACUGGUUACAUAAUUUGUGGGGCUCAAUGCAAAAGGAAAAUGUGAUGCAUGUUAGAAAGUUAUUAAGAAUGUCAAGGCAUCAACAGCAGAGAAUUAACCCAAGCACAAGGCUCUUCUGAGGCGAUGAUGGGGUUUGUGGGCCUUGUAAAACUGCACACAUCUCAGGCCUGUGAAGCCAGCCCUGCAGUGGUCAGAUGGGUGGCAAAAAUUCAGGGAUCAGCCUGUUGACAGCUGUGGAAGAGGAACCCUGGGCAGUGGGGCUCACAGGCCUUGUCCCAGGGCUUCUCGUUGCCACAAGUUCAUCGCAUCUCCCUUUGAUUAAGUAGAUCUCUUUUGACAUUGAAUAUACAUUGAACACCUGUCUAUGGCAGGUCAGUAAAUGUUCUUGUUGCUAAUCUCCUCUGUACAAUCAGAUUAUAAUCUUGUUCAAUAUUGGAACAAGAUUAUAAUCUGAUUGUACAGAGGAGAUUAGCAAUUAUUCAAUAUUGGAAGUCCCAUCUCUACCCACCCUCAUUUUUCUUCCCAGUAGUAUGCCAGGUAAUUAGUAGGUGUUCAAUAUACAGCUGACUCGAACAAUAUGGGUUUGAACUUACACAUUGUUAAGUUGUUAACAAACCCAUGUUAUUCAAGGGUCAACUGUAUACUGGUGGGUCCACUUGUAUGUGGAUUUUCUUCUGCCUCUGCCACACGUGAGACAGCAAGACCAACCCCUCCUCUUCCUCCUCCUGCUCAACAUGAUGAUAAUGAAGAUGAAGACUUUUAUGAUGAUCUAAUUCUACUUAAUGAAUAGUAAACACAUUUUAUCUUCCUUCUAAUUUUCUUAAAAACAUUUUCUUUCUCUAGUUGACUUUGCUAUAAGAAUAGAGUAUAUAAUACUGAUGGGGUAUGGCUCUGUGUUCCUACCUACAUCUCCUCUCGAAUUGUAAUCCCUACAUGUUGAGGAGGGACCUGGUGGGAAGUGAUUGGGUCAUGGGGGGCAGUUUCCCCCAUGCUGUUCUCAUGACAAUGAGUAAGUCCUUAUAAAAUCUGAUGGUUUUAAAGUGCUUGGCAGUUCCCCCUCACUUUCUCUCUCUCUCUCCUGCCGCCGUGUAAAAGGUGCCUGCUUCCCCUUUCCUUCCACCAUGAUUGUAAGUUUUCUGAGGCCUCCCCAGCUAUGUGGAACUGUAAAUCAAUUAAACUUCUUUAGUUUAUAAAUUACCCACUCUCAGGUAGUUCUUUACUGCAGUGUGAAAAUGGACUAAUAAUACAAAUACAUAUACAAAAUAUGUGUUAAUUAACUUUUCAUGUUAUUGAAAAGGCUUCUGAUCAAGAGUAAGCUAUCUUUAGUAGUUACAUUUUUAGGGUUCAAAAGUUACAUGCAGGUUAUUGACUGCACAGGGGGUCAGGACCCCUAACAAUCACAUUGUUCAAGGGUCAGCUGGAUACUUAUUAAAAGCUUUAAUAUUUUAUUCUGAGUAAAAUGUGAGUAGGAUAAAGAUGAUGAUGGAAGCUGAUUUACUACGAGGAGAAAGAUAAUUAAGAGAACUAUGAGUUACCUACUAUUACUGGGCACUGAAUUAGGUAUUCAUAGAAAUGUUCUAACAUAACUAUUAAAAAUAAGCUUAUAAAAUAGGUGGUUUUGUCUUCAUUUGAGAGAUGAGAAAUUGAGGUUCAGUGAGAUUGAGGAACUUGCUUAAGUUCACACAAGUUGUCAGUGAUGAAACAGGGAUUCAAAGCUAACUCAAAGCCUCAGGAAUUUCUAAGCUGCUAGACCCUGUCUUCUUGUCCCCAGCUGCAGACCAAAUUUGAUGAACAGAAAUUGUUCUGAACAGUGAAAAGCACAAGUUUUCCACGUUGUUGCCAUAUUUGGAAAUGCGUGCUAUAAUUUCUGAACAUAGAAUAGAAAAUUUCAGGGAGAUAGUAUUUUAGUGUGCUUAGUAAUAGUACCUACUCUAACUCUAAUUCGAUUACAGUUUAUUGAGCAACUACUGAGUGUAGGACACUGCUAGAUGCUGUGGGAGAUACAGGAUGAACAGACAGAGAAACAGCCCUCAAAGAGAAGAGUAAGACAAGCACACAAAUGAACAGAGCAGAACAGGAAAUUGUGUGUCUGUAUCACGACACCCAAGGAAAGUAUGUUUGCCUACAAAGAUCUGGGUAAGCUUCCUGAAGAAAAUGGCAUUAAGGGUUGGCCUUGAGUGAUGGCAAGAUUCUGGUAGAAGUGGCUGGGAACUGAUUGUGCAGGAGCAAGGAGAGGCAGCAUAGUGUACACUGGACAGAGGGAAGUGCUAGACAGCAGGCCACGCUUAGGAAGAUAAGUUAGGUCUAUUUUAUGGCAGGCCUGGGACCAAGACUGAAGCACCUGUACUCAAUUCAAUAAGGAAAGCCUCUGACAAGUUUUAACUGGAGAGAAACAUGAUAACAGCUGAGCACUAGGAGAUGAAAGCUGGCAGCUGUGGGAGGGAUGACUGGAAGUCAAAGCUGAGAAGGAAGAUGUGAG
rnacentral:lncRNA from 1 species